rnacentral:rRNA from 1 species
UACGAAGGGUGCAAGCGUUACUCGGAAUUACUGGGCGUAAAGCGCGCGUAGGUGGUUUGAUAAGUUGGAUGUGAAAGCCCUGGGCUCAACCUGGGAACUGCAUCCAAAACUGUUUGACUAGAGUACGGUAGAGGGUGGUGGAAUUUCCUGUGUAGCGGUGAAAUGCGUAGAGAUCGGGAGGAACAUCCGUGGCGAAGGCGGCCAUCUGGACCAACACUGACGUUGAGGCACGAAAGCGUGGGGAGCAAACAGG